UGUGAGAGGGUGCUGUAUGUGUGUGUGUGCUGUAUGUAUGUGUGUGUGUGCUGUUUGUGUGUGUGGGGGUGUGCUGUUUGUGUGUUGUAUGUGUUGUGUGUGCUGUGUAUGUGUGUGCUGUGUGUGUGAAGGUGCUGUGUGUGUGAGGGUGCUGUAUGUGUGUGGGUGCUGUAUGUAUGUGUGUGGGUGCUGUGUGUGUGUGCUGUUUGUGUGUUGUAUGUGUGUGGGUGCUGUGUAUGUGUGCUGUAUGUGUGUGUGGGGGUGCUGUGUGUGAG